UACGUAGGGUGCGAGCGUUGUCCGGAAUUAUUGGGCGUAAAGAGCUCGUAGGUGGCGGGUCACGUCGGGUGUGAAAGCCCGGGGCUUAACUCCGGGUCUGCAUUCGAUACGGGUCUGCUGGGGUCCGGCAGGGGAGACUGGAAUUCCUGGUGUAGCGGUGAAAUGCGCAGAUAUCAGGAGGAACACCGGUGGCGAAGGCGGGUCUCUGGGCCGGUACCGACGCUGAGGAGCGAAAAGCGUGGGGGAGCGAACAGG
rnacentral:rRNA from 1 species